UUGAAUAAGCUUGGUUGGGUUGUUGCUGGCUCUUUUGGAGUAUGUGCACGCCUGACGACCAACUUUAUUACCACCUGUGCACCCUUUGUAGACUUGGAUACCUCUCGAGGAAACUCGGACUUUGAGGAUUGCUGUGCGCAAGCCGGCUUUCCUUUGCAUUUCCGGUCUAUGUUUUUAUAUACACACCGAGUAUGUUACAGAAUGUUAUUAAACAAGGCUUAAUUGCCUUUUAAACUUUAUA
rnacentral:misc_RNA from 1 species